GCGGUUUGCUUUAUGCAACUUUGAAACAUUUGCUAAUUUGUUGAUAUAAAAUUUGGCUAUUUAUACUGUUUAGUUUAGUAAGGAAUUAACACAAAUGUUUUAGCGCAUUAUUGCACAUUUGUGUGAAAUAAUAUACUAUUUUCGGGAAAAUCAUAAUCGAAAUAGAAUUCCAAAAUUUCCACGUGGCAUAUUAUGAAAGGAAUAUUCCAGCUCGGGUAAGCUGGCCUCCAUCACCGGUUA